AAUAGCGUGUGAUAGUUGUGCCUGUACUAUACACCGACACAGGCGGAUGAGUAGAGUAUACCGAGGGGCGGCAGGCUGACUCUCUCCAAGGAACUGGGCAACAUAGCCCUGUAACUUUGGGAGACGGUUUUUGACGGACAACGUUUGGUCAAACAAUGGGCCUGGCUCAGACAA
rnacentral:rRNA from 16 species